CUUAUAGGAAAUUCGCCUAAAAUCAUCGCAUCCGUGCGAGAACGGCUAACUAACCUGCAUCGUGUCGG
rnacentral:sRNA from 1 species